UCUUAUUCUUAUUGCAUUAACAAGACGAUUCUUCAUUUGAUACUUUUUAUCCAAUCACAUCAUCUUAUCUUUAUCCAUUUAUUUCUAUAUUGAAUAAGUAGUUCAAGUUCUACUUCUUUAAUACUUAACAUUUUAUGAACUACUGUUGUGCAAACGAUUCACAAUAUUUACAUUGUCGGGAACUUAAGGUUAUGCAACGAAGCUCUGUUGGCCAAAUGGUUGUGGCAUUUUGCCCUUGAACCCGAAGCCUUCUGGUCAAAGAUUAUCGUGAGUAAACAUGGCCCUCAUCCUUCUGAGUGGGUGGUGAAAGGGCCAAAGGUGAAGGUCGGGAUACAUUUUUCUGCAAGGAUCAUUGGGUGGGGGAUAAACCUCUCUUCAACAUUUCCUAGGUUAUACCAUUUGUCUUCUUUGAAAAGCUGCUUUGUAUCAGAUCUUUUUCUUUAGUCUGAGAACUCGGUUUCUUUAUCCUUUGGUUUUCGUUGGGCUUUGUCCAAUAAGGAGUCGACGGAGGUGGCUUCUCUUCUUUCUUUGAUAGGGUUUUUACUUUAGAUUGGGUAGAAGGGAUGUUUGUGUUCGGAUUACUAAUCUAAUGGAGGGUUUUCUUGGAAGCCUUUCUUUAGGAUUUUAGUUAACCCUUCUCCCAUCGUUGAAUUGGCCUUUGAUAUUCUUUGGAGGAUUGAGAUUCCUAAGAAAGUUAGGUUCUUCGUCUGCCAAGUUCUGCUUGGCCGUGUGAAUACAGUGGACAAGGUUUCAAGAAGGUUGCCUUUGUUAACGGGUCUUUUCUGUUGCA